rnacentral:rRNA from 1 species
AGCAGUAGCCGCGGUAAUACGAAGGGUGCAAGCGUUAAUCGGAAUUACUGGGCGUAAAGCGUGCGUAGGCGGUUUGUUAAGUCUGUUGUGAAAUCCCCGGGCUCAACCUGGGAAUGGCAAUGGAUACUGGCAAGCUAGAGUGUGUCAGAGGAUGGUGGAAUUCCCGGUGUAGCGGUGAAAUGCGUAGAGAUCGGGAGGAACAUCAGUGGCGAAGGCGGCCAUCUGGGACAACACUGACGCUGAGGCACGAAAGCGUGGGGAGCAAACAGGAUUAGAUACCCGAGUAGUCCCUGUCUCUUAUAC